rnacentral:miRNA from 1 species
GAGCACGAGCUGAUCUUUGACUCGAACCUGGACAUCGUUUUGUACACGAAGUCAAGCUGCUGUACCCGUGAUUCCAUGUAUCGAGUCAACGAUCGCCUUUAAAAAUGUGCUUCUUUCUGAUCUAGUCCGCGCCAAAAUUGAAUCGUCACAAAGGGGGACUCGGCGGAAAAUAUGGUGGUAUACUACACAGUGAAUAGAUAUA